AGGUGUGGUGGAUUGGGCAAGAACACGGAAAUUGGACAAGGAAAGAAAAGUGGGAAUGUUCCACCGCUUCAAGAUCCAACUCCGAGGGAAGUGUCUUGCGACCACUUUUGCUGUUUGUCGUCACUCACUAAUUCACGGGGGGUGUGUUUGCACCGACUCACAUUCUGAUUUUUGAACAUUAAUUUGGCCCUUCUGUAGUUUCGUGUGGAAUUUCAAGCUGUCAUCCGUCCCUAUUGGUCAAUGCCAGCUUUUUGCUUUCAGGGGCAGCGGCGGAUUGGGCAAGAACACAGAAAUUGGAGAAAGAUAAGUUAUGACUAUAACUAAUACAGUACACGUGACAUGUGAGUGGCGCGUUUCCAACGUGAUUCUUCCUCGUGUUGAUGACUCGGUGGAGUGCAGGAAUGCGGCCAGGAGAGGAAAAAAACGUACACGGCGACGCUGUCCAGUCGGGGUCCUCGAAGCCGCGUUCAACGUGCAAUUGUGCAGUCACGCCGACCUGAGGGAAGGAAGCUGCAAGUGGUGACCAGGAUGUGGACGCUGCAAGAGCAUUUUUGGAGGCAGGUCCUCAAGGGGGGGGCUCGAGGGGCCCCCUUUUCAGCGGUUUUGCUCGGAGGUGGAAAGCAGAACAGGGGACUGACUCGACGACUGCAAUGUCGAACUCCCUCAGCGGCAGACGCAGGAAGUGGACCUUCCGCUGGGCCUUUUUCAGGUCCGGAGCGAUAAACUCCCAGGACGUUGUAGGCCCCCACGGUGAACGCACGGCAGCUGGGACGAAGGACGCCUCUGCCUCAUGAAGUCCACAAUCUUUUCUCCGCUCAUCGCCGCAGACGCGUGGCAGUCUUUGAGGCCGCUGGAGCGUCGACCGGAACGGCAAACUGUCCUCUUGCGGAGCUUCACGCGGAUGCCAAGGUGCAGCAGAGGAAACGAGGCGCCGACAUCCGCCGGUGGCGAACGGGAGGAGGGCAGCUUUGGCCAAGGAAGUUCGGAGAGUUUUGCGGACCUUCCUCGGUCGGCUGGAGCCGGCCGGUCUUGAUUUGUCCCAUCUGCGGCGCCGACGUCCGUUGGAGGUGGUCGGCUCGUCGUUUCGGCGGGGUCAGGGGUCGGCCGUAGCGGGCGGGCCCCGCGAAGACGAGGGAGGACUUCUUGUCUCUCGGUGAGUACGCGACACCGACGUCAACGCCGGUGCGCUUCUCCCCCCGCAGCGUCCCGAAACAAAGGCGCCAACCGGAGGGUGAGUCUGUCGUCGGUCCGCUUGGCGUUUGCCUCCGCUCACUAACUCACUUGGUGUUCACCCACUAACGCCGUUUGCUGUGAAUUUUGUUCAAAUCUUUGAACGUGUUCAUAAUUCCGUCUUCCCCCAAAAUGUCUUUUUUGUAUUUGACUUUUUCUCUCCUUUACACUUUCGUAUGUGACAAAUGUGCUUUAUUUGAAAUAAAAUGGCUUUGAACUGUUUUUAGCGUGUGCAAAUACAUUUCAGACUAAAAAUGACUCUCACAGUCAGGCAUUUUAGCGCCCUAAAAUAAGUUUUAUAUUUCGGCCUUUGACAAAUAGCAUAAAAAAUUUCCCAAAGUAUAAAUGACUGGAUUUUAAAUGGACACAAUUAAAAAUUGACAAUGUGCAGUAAAAGGCAAAAUUUUCAUGCAGAGGUUUAAAAAAAAAAAUCUCAGGACGUAUUGUGAGAUGAUGGGGUAAAAAAUGAAAGUGGUCAAAUUGUGUGUGAUUUAAUGAAAAAAAAAAAAAAAAUUGUACAAUGUGUUUUUGUUGGAUGCCUGAGAAGUUGCAGUCAUUCAGUUUUUGAAGUGAGUUUUCGUUGCUGUACGAGCUGCUGCGUCUUUUCCCUUUGGGGUCCUUCUUUCUACCCGCUCCCACUGCAGGUCAGUCCUCGGCGAACGUCGCGGUCCGAGGGGAUGGAUUCCGGGGUCCCCCUCACCUGGCACGCCGCCGGCGAUCCGGAACAAAAGGUCGCCCCGCUCCAACCGCACGGGGAGGGUCUGUCUUGGUUCUGAGUUUGUGGCCGCUCGCGCUCUGGGGAUGCAACUGCGCAAGAAGCGGGAACGCAAGUGGGAUUUGCGGUCAAAGUUAAACGGUGAACAGGUGGGGGCAGAGUAGCGAGCCGUGUGGCUUCCCUUGGUGGACGAGCAAUGGAAGGAAGUCGUUUGGUAGUCGGUCUGAUUUUUGUCACGAGGGCAGGCGUGUAAAGGCCGCGGUUGGAUGUUUUCGUUGGGUUUGGCGUUUGCUGUGAAGCUGACUUUGAGACGUUCUGGCUGGUCCUGGUCCUGCAGGUCGCUCCCCUUUGAGUCCAACUGCAGCCCUCGAAUGAAUGCGAGAACCAACAGCAAAAACUCAUAUUUGGUCUUGUUUCAGGGACCGGCGAAUGGCAGAACACAAGAUGAACGGCUUCAUUUCCCCGUCAGGCAAGUGUACAAUUAUUGCACAUGAACAUCUGUGACAACAUGUUAAGGUCUCUUCUUCCCC